UUUUUUUUUUUUUUUUGGCCAGACUUGUGAUUUUUGAACACUUACCCAGAUCCUUAAAAGCAUUUAGGCUCCUAAUUUCCACUGGAAUUAAUAGAAGUUAGGAGCCUUUGAGAAAAUGAGCCUUAGUGUUGGCAAUACUGUGCUCCUGUGAAAACUAUGCCCAAAGAGUCUGAAGAUGCACAGGCCCCUUUUGAAAAUUUAGUCAUAGUGUUUUCUAAGUUUAUAAUGUUAAAAAAAAAAAAACACAGAAAAAGUUUGAUUUCAGCAAAAAUAGUACAAACAUUUUUUCCCCCUGUAGGCCAUUUUUAGCUGAAUGCUGCAUGUUAAAUGACAGCACCACAAUAAGGACUUGAUUAGGAUUUUUGGAGUCAAUACCCUUGCAUAUCUGAGAAGUUUUCCAAAAUUAAAUGUGUACUUAGUACAUGUUAUAGCUGUCAUCUUUAGAUAGUUCUGUUGGUGAAAGUACAAUUCCUCUCCUCCACCCCACCUUUUUCAGGACAGAGAACCUAGAAAUCCACAUGCAAGUAACAUAACUUUCUGGAGAUUUAGGUUCAAUAGAUUUCUGUUAUCAAGAUAAUUUUCUGAAGAAAUUAAGAUUUAUUUUUAAUUCAAUUUCAUUUCAGUUGCAAAAAUAACCUUCCAAAGGUGAACUGAUGAGAUACUAUUCUACUUUGUGGGCAGUCUGUCUCUCAGAGAGAGGCAAACUGCUCCCAUUCAUCUCAUCUGGUAUUAAAGACAAAUGGACACCAUUGAAAUAUUAACUGUCUUAGCAGCAGUCAUCUAGCAGGGCUAGAUAGUUCAUUCAUUUAAAAGGAUAUUUCCACAAGAAUAAGGGUGCAAGCUUGUGCUAUUGAAGAUUAGAACCACUAAUGUUAAGAUAAGUUAUUUAAAAUUUCCCAAUAAUCUGAUUCCUUCUGUAAAUUCUGUCAUUGUAAUCCGCUUUUACCAGUAACUAAUUCUGAAGCAUGCAAGAAAGAACUAAUUCUCAACCUAGUCUCGUGUGAUACACAGGAACUGGUUCAGAUGAUAACUAGAAAAACAGAUGGUCACUGUUGCUCAGGAUACAUUGUUUGGCUAUCAUGGAUUAAGAAUGGGAGUCAGCAAUGGACAACACCGUAACAUAUAAGAGUGGAGUUUUUUCUUCUGAAAGGCUGAUAAACUGUUAAAAAUAGGCUGAAAGGCAAGCUAAAAUACUGAAAUGAUCAGGUUAAGUCAUAUUGGUGCAAACCCCAGUCUGCACCAGUGCAGUUUAGUUACCUUAAGGAUUUAUACCAGUGUACUACUUGUGCAACUACAGUGUAGUUACACCAUUGAAAAUGUAUCUAAGACACACUUUACACCCUGAUCCUGAAAACAUUUUCAGACAUGCUUAACUUUACACACUUAAGAAGUCCCUCUGAAGUCAAUGGAAUAACUCUUGUGCAUAAAGUUAAGCACAUAUGUAAAUGCUUGCAGGAUUGGGCCAUAAUCCAUAGAAUCUAUCUGAAGGCUGUUCAAAAACACUGUUCGAGGCAGUGAUAGUAUGUGUGCUGAAGAGCAAAACCAAAGUAACAAGGAGUGAAUAAAAUGUGUCUAAAUAAUGAGGUAUGGAAUAUUAUAACUUGGAUACUAUACAUAUAUUCAGUAAGGUCAGAUCAAUAUAGCUUCUGUAAGGGUAAAUUUGUGCUGAUUUACUGUUAGAAUUCUCUGAAAGAGACGCGUAAAUAAAAUACUGGCUCUGUUGUUUGAAUUUUGAAACAGCUUUUGACAAGGUCUCCCAAGAAAGGGAGACCGUUUCUGGGGGAAAACACAGGAUAAAGGAGAAAAUCCUAUUGCAGUGUUGCCAACUCUCACAGUAUUUGAUGUUUUUUUUCUUAAAAUUCCAGUUUCUGGAGUCAGGUGAUAACGUAAGACUCUCAGCUUUCAUUUUUAAACAAAAGUAAAUUUCUAGCUAUCACGGUUAUGGAGAAAAGUUAUAAACCAUUAUCUUUAAAGGUUCAAAUAACAAAGGCAAAUAAAAAGAUCCCCAAAUUAUUAUAUGCUUGGCUUAAAUCUUGAGGUUUAAAAAAUAUCACGAUUUUGGGGGUCCUGACUCAUGAGUUUUGAACACCUGAGGUUAGCAAUAUUGAAUUGUGGAUAAAACUACGUCCUACUAAUCUGAGUAAAGUGAAAUUAAUAGAGGCUGGGAAGUUAAUGGUGGACCUAAAGAACAAUUUUAUAAUAAUAAUAAUAAUGCUAUUUAUAAAUUAAAAAUUCUGUACAGAGUAACUAAUUCUCAGAAUACCACUAUGAAUCAAAAAAAUACUUAGGCACCCAGAUUUAGGUGCCAAAAUCUGUUUUUUUAGGCAUCACUGCAAUCCAGAAAACUCCUGCCAAACCCUGUAGAUGCCCAAGUUUUCAGGGUAAAAGUUCCCCAGUGCCUAUGUUUCUGUCUGUGAGCAUGUGCACUGCCUCCUUACUGUAGUUGUCCAGAUGUCUAUCUCCCCCCCCCCAAACUCCAGAGCAAUUCACAAACUGGGGGAAGACAGACACAUGCUGGGCCAGAUCCAGUAGGAGUGUUCAGAGGCCACCUAUUGGUUUGGGUUUCAUUCACAAUCUGGUCACCAGAGGAGGAGGUGGUGGCGGCGGCAGUGCUACCCAUCUUAUAACUUUUAGCCCAAUGGCUAGAACAUUUCCUGGAAUGUUGAAGACCCAGGUUCAAUUCUCCCCUCUCUGCCAGAGGGGGAGAAAGACCGGGGGUCUCCUACCUCUUUGGAGAGAGCUCCAACCAAUGAGAUAUGGAAUAGUCUGAUAUGAGACUCCCUCAGUAUCUCCUGUUGAAGUGUUCCACUAUGAAUAAAUAAUGAAAGAGUGAUGUGAGGAGGGGGACUGGACUCUGGGUUUCCCACUUACCAAGUGGGUUCCUUAGCUACUGGACUACAGAGUCUCUCUCUCUGUGUGGCCCAAUGACUGUUCCACUGUGGAUAAAUACUUAAAUACUCAUUUGUGGAUCUGUGUCUAGACCUACCUCCCUAACUCCUCAUCUUAUGCUUAUUCCACAAAAGCAUUCUGCCUCCGCUGCGCUACAUGUUAUUUAAUAUGUUUGUUAAUGAUUUGUUAGGGGAAGGAGCGGUGAAAUUUGCUGAUGACACAAAACUAUUUAAAUUAGUAAAAAAAAAGAGGAUUAUAGGAAAAACUUCCAGAAAAAUCUAACCAAACGCAGGAUAGUACAAUAGCAGCUGAAUUUUAAUUUUGAUAAAUGCAGGGUAAUGCAUGUUGAAAUGAAUAAUCUGUAUUUCUCCUAAUAAUAUCCCCAUGACUGUGCUCAAUUGGUCUGCAAAGAGCACUGCCAUUCAUAAGAAUUCUGUGCAAGCAGUAAGGCAGUAGGAAUUAAUAUUGGAUCAAAAUCUAUUUAAGUAUUCAAUCAGGUAGUUAUGGAGAUCUUGGGAAUUUAAAAAUUCUGAGAGCCGGGUAAGUUGUUUGUUAGUAUUCCCAAAGCAUGUAGAAUUUGAACUCUUAAGUCUAAGGGUUAUAUCCUCAGCUGAUGUAAAUUGUCAUAGCUGCUGGAGCUGUGAGGAUCUGCCCCCAGGCCUUUAAUAUGUUCUCUAUUCAAAACAUUUCCAAAUGGACUCUUUGAAAUAAAAAUUUUAAAAGUGAUAGUUCACAAGACUAGAUCAUUCAAGAGCAUAAACAAAUCUGAUCAAUGGUUUUUCAAAGCCUACUCAUUCAUCAGAUUAUUUUUGUAAAAUCUUUGGUUCAGCUGGAGAAUUUUUGUCAUUGGAGGUGAUUCAUUUUUGUCUAUUAUCUGAACAACGUCAUAGAGAGGCAAUAGCAAUGGAGGUUGCACUAUGAAGUUUGAGAGGAAGAAGAGUCUUUCUUAUGAUUAAUGAACUGGACUUAGGUGAUCUUGAUUCAGUUCCUGCCUCUGCUACAGACUUUGGGCUAGUCAUUUAGCUGGCAGUUCCUCAGUUCUCCAUCUGUAACAUGGCAAUAGCAAUAUUUCCUUUGUCUAUCUGUUUAGGCCCUGAUCUUGCAAACACUUAGUUGCAUACUUCACUUGAAGCAUUUGAGUCAAAUUAAACAUAUAGUUACCAUUUAUUGGAUUGGGGCUUAGACUGCAAGCUUGUCAGGGCAGGAACUACCUCAUACUCUGUUUGUACAGUACCCAGCACAAUGGAGCCCAAGCUUGUUUGGAGGCUCCAGGCACUACUGAAAUACAAAUAAAUAAUUACAAUAAGGCUGAUUCAGAACACAGUUUUCCUCCCUCUCCCUCGUUGGAAGUGAAAUAUAAAAACCCCUCAUGCUUUUGCAUUUUUAAAGUUCUCAUUGGCAACUAUUAUCUGUUCUUGGAAAAAACAAACUUAGUACUUUAUGGCCCUGAUUCAGCAAAGAAAGUAAGCAACUGCUUAACUUUCAUCCACUGAACACAGUGGGAAAAUUCAUGUGUUUAAGUGCAGUGCUGAAUCAUGGCCUUUGAGAUUAAAAAACUUAAAUUGGCUUGUUUGGAAAAUAUUUGCAAACUAAGCCUAACCCAGUCCUGCAAACACUAAGGCACAUACUUAACUUUACUACCGUGAAGCAGGCCCACUGAAGUUAGGGAUCAGGGCUUAAUGUUUUUGUGUCUCCCUCUGUUGGCCCAACCAAAUCACUUACCCUUACAAAACUUGAGGUGCUGGCAGUGGCUGGAGGGGGGAGAGGGAUAGCUCAGUGGUUUGAGCUUUGGCCCCCUAAACCUAGGGUUGUGAGUUCAAUCCUUGAGGGGGCCACUUAGAGAUCUGGGGCAAAAUCAGUACUUGGUCCUGCUAGUGAAGGCAGGGGGCUGGACUCAAUGACCUUUCAAGGUCAUUUCUCCAAUUCUAGGAGAAGGGAUAUCUCCAUUAAUUUAUUUUUAUUUGGAUUGUGACAUUGUCUCUUGACUGCUCCAGUUUUCAUGUUCAGGGAUAGUAAAAAUAUAUCCAGUUCUCCAUCAGUGAAUCCAAUGGAGAAAAGAAAAUCAUCUGAAAGUAUUAAAGUGGGAUAGGGGAUUUCAGUGGGACCUAGCCAUUGUGUUACAGUAAGUUACUUAGUGGCUUUGUUGCCAGCCUAUUCAGUUGAAACGUUAUAGAAUAGUAUCUUGCAACAUUUACUAUUGCACUGGGGAGGGGAGAGGGAAUCAAUAAACCUUGGGGGGAAAAGUCUGGUAAACUUGCCUUAAGAGGGAAAAUCAUCUAUAAACCCUUUGGGUGGAGGGCGGGGGGGGGGUCUGGUAAACUUGGUUUAAGAAGCCCUUUUACAAUUGGAGGGAUGGACUCAAAAUAUCAUAUUCACUUUCCCUUUCAUUUAUCUUAUUGCCUCAAUGUCUGUGUGUCUCUUUUACAAGACCAAGCUUAUUUUGGUUUAGGACAAAUAAUGGAGAAUAGAAACAGCCUGUUAAUAGUCUGGAGUGGCUUCAGUUAAUUCCCUCAUACUGUAGCCAUCUCAGGGCUAACGUGUACCAUACAUUUUAUUCCAGACAACAGAAUGAAGGUAACUUAUGUACUGAUGAAAGGAAAAUAUGAGAAGUUCUUUCAUUUCAGAACUGUCAUUAGGAAUUCUAUUUUCAGUAGCCCACGAUGUUUGAUCUCUGAAUCGGUUACAUUAUUCCAUGAAAGUAAAACUUUAUUGCAGAUGCCCUGUCCAGAGGCCCAGUCCUUUGGGAGGCAGCCCUGCAGUUGGAUGUGUGGUUUAACAAACAGUUAAAUCUGUUUGAAUCAGUAACCACCAUAUGAACACAAAAGGAAGACAAAAUUGUUUGUCUACAGUCAUCCAGCUUCAAAUCCCUGGAGAAGGGAUGAGCUAUAUCUAGACUGGAAAAUUAAAUUUGCUUACUCAGUUGCCACUGAUUCAGAUAACCAUCCAAUUUAAUCAGGAGUCAAUUGAAGCAGCCUGUUGAUUAUUCCUCUAUAAUCAUUUCAAUCAUGGCUUCAGUCUCCACAUCCUAAAUUGGUAGAUUUCCCAGCAGUUCCAAGGAAGAUAUUCUAUUAAUAAACAUACAGGUUACAAAGACUCAAAUCUCUUCAGUGACCUCACCAAUUCCCCCCUAACAUCUUGUCUAAGGAAAUCCCUAAUGACAGAGGCUUAUCAGAAAACAUUAAUGAGAUAACUAUUGUGUAAUAUUAACAUACAUAUGAGAGAAGUCCUGGUGAAGUGUGUGUGUGUGUGUGUGUAUAGAGAGAGAGUUUGUGCCCAGAAUGAAUAUUCAAAUCUGACUUCAAAUUCUUCCCACAUCUCACUUCAGAUUCUUCCAGCAUUAGUUCUGAACUGGUUUUUUAUCCAUAUUUAACUAAGGCUUGGGAUUUCAACUUUGAAAAUGUAUUUUUGCAUUAAACUGGUUUUCCAGAGAUAAAAUUGUGUCAUGAAUACUCUUGUUUUCAGGACAGCUAAUUUUAACAGAUCUGUCAUUCCUAUGUAGAUGGCGUGUUGGGAUAUUAAUAUCCUCUUAAAUUAUUUUAAAACUAUUAAUGCUUCAUGUCCUAUGGGAAUGUUAUCUGCAAAGCUAGCAUCUUUGUAUCUUUGCUAAGAUUCUAGGAUUUCAGUUUUAUCAGUCUGUGAGGAUUUCCAAGUAUUGGAUGUAAAGAUUCCAUCAGGUUAUGAGUUUCUGCUAUAUUCCAGUGUAAACCCUGUAUCACAGAUCUUUCCAGGUUAUACUGUUUGAUUAGAGAUUAUUUAAAUAUAUGUGUAUUCCUUCCUGUUUUGAAGCUUAUACAGACAGUUUAUUAGAACAUUUUCUUAUUUUUAAACUAGUUUUCUUCUCUAUUAAACAAAAUUGAAUAGCUGUAAUACAUAAAGGCACAGAUUGGUUUUGUUCUUGAAGAAGCGGGUAUUGAACUUAAAAAGUGUUCAGUAUGCCUUAAGCGGCAUAGCAGAAACUGUUACAGUUUCCAAAGGGACUGAGAGGGAUUUAAUCUGAAUUUCUGCCGGAUGUUCAGGAGACAAAACCUCAUAAAUUUUACUGGAGCCCUUCAGACAAUGGCAGAAAUCUCUCAUCCUUUAGGGCUGCCAAGUAUUAUGAAGUGUUCCAUCCAUCUUUAACUAGUGACUCACAUUAACAAUGAUAUAUGAGAAAUAGAGAUACAGUACUUUGAAUUUAUGAAUAUCCUAUUUCUCUGAUUCAUGGCAAUGAUUGUGUUUCCCAUAAUGAUGUGGUGAUUCUAAAUCUUCUGUUAUUUGUGCCAUGUAUGUGGCAAUAGGGCAAGGAAUCUCUUCAUUUUGGGUGAAAUCCUGACCCUCUUGAAGUCCAAUGGGAUUUCUCCUUGUGUCUUGCACAUAACUGAGCACACUGUUUGUGCUGAACAAAUACAUAAUAAAAAGGGGAAUUAUCACAUUAUCCUUUGUUUCCCAAAAACAGUGUGCAAAAGAUUCCAAGCACUUUGGGGAAAAUUAAACUAAGAACAGAAUUCGACUGAAAUUUAACAAAAAUAGCUUUUGCACAAAUCUUAAUUUCACUACAAUUUUAUGCAUAUUUGGAUUAUUUUAGUGGUGUUAAAUUGCAGUGUUAUGCAUCUGUGUUUUGGGAGAUAUUUAUUUAAACUUUCCCAUGUAUGUAGCAUAUUAAAAACCUUAUUUGUUUAA